rnacentral:rRNA from 1 species
AUGGCGAAGCCCCGCCGCGGCCGCUCCGGCUCGCGGUCCUCGUCGGGCUCCUCCUCCCGCUCCGCGUCCUCGGGCUCCUCCCGCUCGCGCUCGCGCUCCCGCUCCCUCUCGUCGUCCUCCUCAUCGCCCGCCCGCUCCCGGGGCCGCUCCCCUCCCGCCGCCAAGCGCAGUUCACCUGGAGCAAAGAAAGGUCGAUCACCUUCACCCGCUCUCAAAAAAGGGUCACCAUCAAGGAAAGGCCGCUCAUCAUCUCCCCCACCGAAGAAAGCUUCACCUCCUAGGAAAGCAUCUCCUCCUCCUCAGUCGGUUGUACUACAUGUUGAUCAUCUAUCCCGAAAUGUGAAUGAGGCUCAUUUGAAGGAGAUAUUUGGAAAUUUUGGUGAAGUGGUGAAUGUGGAGCUAUCAAUGGACAAAUUUGUUAAUCUCCCUCGUGGGUAUGGAUACAUCGAGUUCAAGAAGAGGACUGAUGCUGAGAAGGCUCUUCUUUACAUGGAUGGUGGGCAAAUUGAUGGAAAUGUUGUCAAGUUGAAGUUCACACUGCCACCACGCCAAAGGGCUUCUUCACCUUUAAAGCCACCUCCUCCUCCCCCCAAAAGAGAUGCUCCUCCGAAUGAUAAAGUUGCUAUUGGUGCUGAAAAGGAUGCUCAGCAGCGGCCUGGGGGAUCAGCAUCUCCACGAAAGAAGCCAGCUUCUCCGCCGCGAAAGAGGUCUCCUCCAAAUAGAAGGGCUGAGUCACCCCGGCGUCCACCCAAUCCAUCUCCAAGGCGUCGUGCUGAUUCUCCUAUUCGUCGUCGACCAGAUCUUUCCCCUGUUAGGCGUGGUGAUAGAAGACCAGGAUCUCCAAUUAGAAGACGUUCUCCUUCACCUAGAAGGCAUAGGUCACCAAUGCGGAGGGGUCGUGGCAGCUUAUCACCGCGCAGACGCUCCCCGGGGCCUCCUAGGCGCUCACCUGGGCCUCCCAGACGGCGAUCACCACCACCAAGGAGGUUGAGGAGUCCUCCAAGAAGGCCACCACCACCACCUCCGCGUCGUCACAGCCGCUCCCCUCCUCCUCGCCGCCCUCUUCACUCCCGCUCCAGAUCAAUUUCUCCACGCAGGGGCCGGGGACCACCAUUGAGGCGUGGAAGGUCAGAUUCAUCCUAUUCUGCAUCACCCAGUCCUCCAAGAAAGGGACCGAGAAGGGUGUCAAGGAGCCGCAGCCCUAGAAGGCCUCCCAGAGGAAGGAGUGGCUCUAGCGACAGCGGGAGCAGCAGCUCUUCCCCAACCCCAAGGCGCAGGUAG